rnacentral:lncRNA from 1 species
UGAGAAUGACCCUUAUUAUAUUUUUACAUUACCCAUAACUUAAAAGAACCAUAGUAAUAAAAAGAUAUUCAAAUCAAUCCUGAAACAGAACUCGUAAAGCAAACCGCAACCCUUUUGACUCAAACAUAAUCAAACAUACCCAACUGCAUGCGAGAGAAAGAUGAAGCUCACAGAAGACAUACAGCACAUCAUAUUUUAUUUAAGGUGAGAUUCUAUGUCCUUGGUGAGGUUAUUCAUAAGAUCAAGAUAUUUGUAAGGAUAAGGAGAGCCAUCAUUGAGUUUCUCAUACUCCAGUGUUAAAACUGCUAAGCUAUGUUCAGGUCCCUUUGGCACAACUUGAUAUGUUCCCUUGAAAAGUUUGUAAUGCUCAAAUACAUCUCCUUCCAACCCAAUCAAAG